rnacentral:piRNA from 1 species
UGCAAAUCUGCCUUUGUGGCUCAACCUUAGC